GACGAACGCUGGCGGCGUGCUUAACACAUGCAAGUCGAACGGUGAAGCGCCUUCCUUUUUGGUGGGUGUGGAUGAGUGGCGAACGGGUGAGUAACACGUGAGUAACCUGCCCCCUUCUUCUGGAUAACCGCAUGAAAGUGUGGCUAAUACGGGAUAUUCUGGGUCUGUCGCAUGAUGGGUCUGGGAAAGAUAUUGUUUCGGUGGGGGAUGGGCUCGCGGCCUAUCAGCUUGUUGGUGGGGUGAUGGCCUACCAAGGCGGUGACGGGUAGCCGGCCUGAGAGGGUGGACGGUCACACUGGGACUGAGGCACGGCCCAGACUCGUACGGGAGGCAGCAGUGGGGAAUAGUGCACAAUGGGCGCAAGUCUGAUGCAGCGACGCCGCGUGAGGGAUGGAGGCCUUCGGGUUGUGACCCUCUUUCGCCAGUGAAGCAGGCCUGCCUCGUUUGUGGGUGGGUUGACGGUAGCUGGAUAAGAAGCGCCGGCUAACUACGUG
rnacentral:rRNA from 1 species